rnacentral:sRNA from 1 species
UGCACACUGAGCUGCCUCUGUCUCCCUACUCCAGCUCCCAUCCCAGAUCUCAAAGUGUUUGAGCGUGAGGGAGUACAGCUGAAUCUGUCUUUCAUUCGACCCCCUGAAAACCCUGCUUUGCUGUUAAUCACCGUCACUGCCACCAACUUCUCAGAGGGUGAUGUCACCCAUUUCAUCUGCCAGGCUGCUGUGCCCAAGAGUCUCCAGCUGCAGCUGCAGGCCCCCAGUGGGAACACAGUUCCAGCUCGGGGUGGCCUUCCUAUCACCCAGCUCUUCAGAAUCCUCAAUCCUAACAAGGCCCCCCUGCGGCUAAAGCUGCGCCUCACCUACGACCACUUUCACCAGUCGGUGCAGGAGAUCUUUGAGGUGAACAACUUGCCUGUGGAAUCGUGGCAGUAACUGUCUCCACUCACAGCCUGAAAUUCUCCUGUGUCCCAAACCCCAGGGGGCCCCAGCAGC